rnacentral:rRNA from 1 species
AGCGAACGCUGGCGGCAGGCUUAACACAUGCAAGUCGAACGGGCAUCUUCGGAUGUCAGUGGCAGACGGGUGAGUAACACGUGGGAACGUACCCUUCGGUUCGGAAUAACUCAGGGAAACUUGAGCUAAUACCGGAUACGCCCUUUUGGGGAAAGGUUUACUGCCGAAGGAUCGGCCCGCGUCUGAUUAGCUUGUUGGUGGGGUAACGGCCUACCAAGGCGACGAUCAGUAGCUGGUCUGAGAGGAUGAUCAGCCACACUGGGACUGAGACACGGCCCAGACUCCUACGGGAGGCAGCAGUGGGGAAUAUUGGACAAUGGGCGCAAGCCUGAUCCAGCCAGGCCGCGGGAGUGAUGAAGGCCUUAGGGUUGUAAAGCUCUUUUGUCCGGGACGAUAAUGACGGUACCGGAAGAAUAAGCCCCGGCGAACUUCGU